rnacentral:rRNA from 1 species
CCUACGGGAGGCAGCAGUGAGGAAUAUUGGUCAAUGGACGAGAGUCUGAACCAGCCAAGUAGCGUGAAGGAUGACUGCCCUAUGGGUUGUAAACUUCUUUUAUAUGGGAAUAAAACAGGGUAUGCAUACCCUCUUGUAGGUACCAUAUGAAUAAGGAUCGGCUAACUCCGUGCCAGCAGCCGCGGUAAUACGGAGGAUCCGAGCGUUAUCCGGAUUUAUUGGGUUUAAAGGGAGCGUAGGUGGAUGGUUAAGUCAGUUGUGAAAGUUUGGGGCUCAACCGUAGAAUUGCAGUUGAAACUGGACGUCUUGAGUACAGUACAGGCAGGCGGAAUUCGUGGUGUAGCGGUGAAAUGCUGAGAUAUCACGAAGAACCCCGAUUGCGAAGGCAGCUCACUGGACUGCGACUGACGCUGAUGCUCGAAAGUGCGGGUAUCAAACAGGAUUAGAUACCCUUGUAGUC